rnacentral:rRNA from 1 species
UGGGGAAUAUUGGGCAAUGGGCGCAAGCCUGACCCAGCAACGCCGCGUGAGGGAAGAAGGCUUUCGGGUUGUAAACCUCUGUCCUUGGUGACGAAGAAAGUGACGGUAGCCAAGGAGGAAGCCCCGGCUAACUACGUGCCAGCAGCCGCGGUAAUACGUAGGGGGCGAGCGUUGUCCGGAAUUACCGGGCGUAAAGGGUGCGUAGGUGGCCUUUGAAGUUGGAUGUGAAAUACCCGGGCUUAACUUGGGGGGUGCAUCUAAUACUGGAGGGCUAGAGUGCAGGAUAGGAGAGUGGAAUUCCUAGUGUAGCGGUUAAAAGCGUAGAUAUUAGGAGGAACACCAGUUACGAAGGCGGCUCUCUAGCCUGUAACUGACACUGAGGCGCGAGAGCGUGGGGAGCGAACA